UACGGACAUAUCACGUUGAAACACCGGUUCCUGUACGAUCAUCGAAGUUAAGCAACUUUGAGCUUGGACCGUACCUAGAUGGGUGACCUUUUGUGAAUACCAGGUGCUAUA